AGCCUGCAACUCGGCUGCAUGAAGCCGGAAUCGCUAGUAAUCGCGGAUCAGAACGCCGCGGUGAAUACGUUCCCGGGUCUUGUACACACCGCCCGUCACACCAUGGGAGUCGGGAACGCCCGAAGUCGGUGCCCCAACCGUAAGGAGGGAGCCGCCGAAGGCGGGCCCGGCGACUGGGGUGAAGUCGUAACAAGGUAAC
rnacentral:rRNA from 1 species